rnacentral:rRNA from 1 species
UACAGAGGGUGCUAGCGUUAUUCGGAAUUACUGGGCGUAAAGCGCACGUAGGCGGCUUGAUAAGUCUGAUGUGAAAUCCCUGGGCUCAACCCAGGACGGUCAUUAGAUACUAUCUCGCUUGAGUGCAGGAGGGGAGAGUGGAAUUCCAGGUGUAGAGGUGAAAUUCGUAGAUAUCUGGAGGAACAACAGUGGCGAAGGCGACUCUCUGGACUGUAACUGACGCUGAGGUGCGAAAGCGUGGGGAGCAAACAGG